rnacentral:rRNA from 1 species
GACGAACGCUGGCGGCGUGCUUAACACAUGCAAGUCGAACGGUAAGGCCCUUCGGGGUACACGAGUGGCGAACGGGUGAGUAACACGUGGGUGAUCUGCCCUGCACUUCGGGAUAAGCCUGGGAAACUGGGUCUUAUACCGGAUAGGACCACUGCCUGCAUGGGUGGUGGUGGAAAGCUUUUGCGGUGUGGGAUGGGCCCGCGGCCUAUCAGCUUGUUGGUGGGGUGAUGGCCUACCAAGGCGACGACGGGUAGCCGGCCUGAGAGGGUGACCGGCCACACUGGGACUGAGAUACGGCCCAGACUCCUACGGGAGGCAGCAGUGGGGAAUAUUGCACAAUGGGCGCAAGCCUGAUGCAGCGACGUCGCGUGAGGGAUGACGGCCUUCGGGUUGUAAACCUCUUUCAGCACCGACGAAGCGCAAGUGACGGUAGGCGCAGAAGAAGGACCGGCCAACUACGUGCCAGCAGCCGCAGUAA